rnacentral:rRNA from 1 species
CACGAGAAAAGGACUUCGGUCCCUAGUAAAGUGGCAGACGGGUGAGUAACACGUGGGCAACCUGCCCUCGAGUGGGGAAUAACCCAGGGAAACUUGGGCUAAUACCGCAUGACAUCAUCUUCUCCCUGGAGGAGAUGAUCAAAGGUGGGGAUCGUGAGACCUACCGCUCGAGGAGGGGCCCGCGCCUGAUUAGCUUGUUGGUGAGGUAACGGCUCACCAAGGCUGCGAUCAGUAGCCGGCCUGAGAGGGUGAUCGGCCACACUGGAACUGAGACACGGUCCAGACUCCUACGGGAGGCAGCAGUGAGGAAUCUUGCGCAAUGGGCGAAAGCCUGACGCAGCAACGCCGCGUGGGUGAUGAAGGCCUUCGGGUCGUAAAACCCUGUCAGGUGGGAAGAACAGGCGGCGGGUUAACACCCCGUCGUCUUGACUGUACCACCAGAGGAAGCCCCGGCUAACUCCGUGCCAGCAGCCGCGGUAAUACGGGGGGGGCCAGCGUUGUUCGGAAUUAUUGGGCGUAAAGGGCGCGCAGGCGGUUGUGCAAGUCAGUUGUGAAAUCCCCUGGCUUACCCAGGGAACUGCUUCUGAAACUGCAUGACUUGAGUCCGGGAGAGGAGAGUGGAAUUCCCAGUGGAGCGGUGGAAUGCGUAGAUAUUGGGAGGAACACCAGUGGCGAAGGCGGCUCUCUGGACCGGUACUGACGCUGAGGCGCGAAAGCUAGGGGAGCAAACAGGAUUAGAUACCCUGGUAGUCCUAGCUGUAAACGAUGGGCACUUGGUGUUGCGGGUAUCGACCCCUGCAGUGCCGGAGCUAACGCGAUAAGUGCCCCGCCUGGGGAGUACGGUCGCAAGGCUGAAACUCAAAGGAAUUUGACGGGGGCC